rnacentral:rRNA from 1 species
GGACUACAGGGGUAUCUAAUCCCGUUUGCUCCCCACGCUUUCGCGCCUCAGCGUCAGUACCAGUCCAGUGAGCCGCCUUCGCCACUGGUGUUCCUCCCAAUAUCUACGCAUUUCACCGCUACACUGGGAAUUCCACUCACCUCUCCUGGUCUCAAGCCAAGCAGUUUGGGAGGCAGUUCCUCGGUUAAGCCGAGGGAUUUCACCUUCCACUUGCCAGGCCGCCUACGCGCCCUUUACGCCCAAUAAUUCCGAAUAACGCUUGCCCCCUCUGUAUUACCGCGGCUGCUGGCAC